UACGUAGGGGGCAAGCGUUGUCCGGAAUCAUUGGGCGUAAAGCGCGCGUAGGCGGCCCGGUAAGUCCGCUGUAAAAGUCCAGGGCUCAACCCUGGAAAGCCGGUGGAUACUGUCGUGCUAGAGUCCGGAAGAGGCGAGUGGAAUUCCUGGUGUAGCGGUGGAAUGCGCAGAUAUCAGGAGGAACACCGAUGGCGAAGGCAGCUCGCUGGGACGGUACUGACGCUGAGGCGCGAAAGCGUGGGGAGCGAACAGG
rnacentral:rRNA from 1 species